AGGUGCCCUCCUAACCUCAUUUUGGCACCCCAAAAAGAUGGCAGGCAGAUGGGUGAGAGGCUGAGGUGUCACACACAGUGCUGGAGUGACAAAGCCAUGUCUUGAGGAACAGUUGGAGAAGGUGUUGUGUGUGCCACCUUUGGAACCGGAUGAGCACUGAAGGUG